AUAGGAAAUAAAAUCAGUCUUGUUAGGUAGGUAGAAUAGGAAAAAGGAGUCCAGAAUGGCGGUGGCUAAAAGACAAGGAAGGGAAAAGCCCACAAAAAUAGAACAAAGGAAGGUUCGAGGACCGGAGUGAGGACUUCAGAUUACCUGGAGCACGGAGUGCCUCACUCCACCCUGAACUCCCUCAGGGGUUGUUGAAGGUCAACAGCCAUAGCAGCAUGGGGUUCAAGCUCAAGAGGCAGAUGGCAAACACCUUUGUUGUUCAGUCCUUGGCAAUGCUCUUGGAAAAGGGAAAAUCUGGAGGCAACCUCACACACAGAAUGCCAUACAAAGAUGAAGACAGAAAUUGGGGUGAUGCUUCUACAGGCCAAGGAGUGCCAAAGGCUCCUCUGUCCAUAGGAUUUUCUGGGAUUAGUGGAGUAGGUUGCCAUUUUCUCCUCAGAGGAUCUUCCUGACCCAGGGAUCCAACCUGCGUCUCCUGCAUUGCAAGAGGAUUCUUUACCACUGAGCCAUCAUGGAAGCCCCAAAGGUACAUUACAAACUGUAUUACAAAUUUCUAGAUGGAACUUACCUUUAUUAACUGAAAUCUUAUCAGAACUUCGUAAACCUCGAGAAACUGGGAAAUACUCCAUGUGUCUGUGUAUAUAUUUAGCAAGAAAAACAAAUCUGUAGCUUUAACAUUCUCCGAAGAAUCUCUGACUCUAUCCUCACAAAACAAAUGAACACUGAGCUAAAAGAAAACAUAAUUUUAUAAGAAAACUGGAUAAAACCUGAAAUAAAAUACCCCUGACCUAAUUUUUCCCAUUAUGAAAGCAGAUUCCCCCCCCCAAUAAUAAACGUUUAUUACUUAAAAGAAAACAGUAAUUUAACAUAAAGGUCAUUUUGCUAUGAUAAGAAUAUUAUGGAUAUAUAUUAUAAAAAGAACAACAUAGUAAGUUUCUGAAUUUUUUCUUCCCAUAGGUAAAAUCUUUCCAACCUCACAGUAUAGUAUACUUAAUACUUGACAGUGUCUGGUAGUAUAAAUUUGUGAUUCAUGAUGGUAAAUAUAUCUGAUGUAGCAAGCUCUGCAUGAACUACUGGGACUUGGUAAAAAUUUGUUAUACAUAGUGUAUUAAUACCCUGGCCGUUCAGUACUAUAGCAAUUAAGGAUCCAAAAAAUAUUUUGAAAGAUGAAAAAGUCUUGCUUAAGGACAAAAUAAAUGGCAGUUAAAAUAUUUAUUUCAAAAUAAGUGUUUAAGCUUAUUUUUUAUA